ensembl:lncRNA
CAGUGCAGGUGGCUGCGGCAUAUUAUGGGCUGGCAGGGCCCCUGCAAACUAGGCUGGCAGUGGGGCUCCCCUCUGCUCUUGUGCUGCCGUGCCUCUCUCCUGGCGGCUACAGGGGGAGCCAUGACAUCGAGCUAUGCUGUGUGCUCAGCGCCUGCUGCUGCUGCUGUGCUCUGCGGGGACCCACAGCCGCUCAGGGGUCCCCACGUCCUGCCCUGCUGGGUCCCUGCUCGACGUCCCUCACCUCCGUCCUUUGCCCGGAGCCAGAGAAACAAAAGAGGAAUGGAACCACAGGAGGUGCGCGAGCCUCAAAUCUGUCACGAGUGGUGCACAUACUGCAGGGCUCGCCAGAAAGCCAAGCAGAUGCACAGCACGAGAUGAAGCCUUGAAAACUGCCCAGCGGAGGAAGAUUUAUUCUUGCUUUUUGAGCCUCUCAGGGCAGAUGGAAGGAGAACGCCUCCGCUGUGGUCAGUCCCUGAAGACAAAGUGGAUGCUGCUGGCACACUGGAAUGACGGCACGGGUUUGCUGACGGUUUUGCAUGGGAGCAUCGGUUGGGUUUACACCUACAAGUGCUUGGCUAUGGCAGCGGGGCAUCCCAUGGAAAGGCCAAAAAGCAGCAGAGAGAUCCAGGGAAGGAGGAGAUGGCACACGCUGCAAGCCUGUUCUCUGUCAGCGACGCUGCUGGGAGCACGGACACCCAUAGUGGAGCCAGCAGCUGAGGACAGCUCACAGGAGAG